UAGGGUAUAGCGUAAAUGGCUAACGUGUUUGCUUUGGGUGUAAAAGAUUGUAGGUUCAAAUCCUGCUACCCUAA
rnacentral:tRNA from 1 species